rnacentral:rRNA from 1 species
AAGUGUUAGUUCAGGAAACGAAACUGCGAACAGCUCAUUAAUACGCUCAGAACUUAUCGGGUAAAAUCCAAACGGGUAAACAGGGAUAGCUGCAGAAAUUCUGGAGCCAAUACCAACUCUUCGGAGGCAACCACUGUAUGGGAAAGAAAAGUGGGUAUAAGGCCGGGAGGCGAGCCCGAAUGUUGAGCGCCCCAUCGGCUAAUACGUAGGGUCUGUGCCUACGCAUGCGAUCACGGGUAACGGGUGGUUAACGUCAGACUGCCGGAGAUUGAGCCUGAGAAACAGCUCAAAUAACCACGGUUAGCAGCAGGCGCGAAACUUUCUCAAUCGCGACAAGCGGAGGAGGUAGCGGCCAGUUUCUGACUGUCGUAACAGACGUUUGAAAAGGCUUCGGACAAGCACUCCGAGGUGGCAAGGAUAGGGCAAGCUCCGGUGCCAGCAGCUGCGGUAAUUCCGGCUAUCCAAGUUUGCUUCUAAUGUUACGUUUAAAAAAUUCGUAGCCGAGAUCUGUUGCGCGCAAGCGCGUUCACGGUGAAUAAAUCAGGAUGCUUAGAGUAGUUCGUAAUUGAAUGACCCAGCACCGCAUGAGGUCUUUACCCGUCAGGGUAAGCCUAAAGAGAGCUAUCGAGGCAAGGGCUACGCAAAAGCGAGCGGCGGAAUGUUUUGACCUUUUGCGGAGGAACAGACGCGAAGGCGCCUUGCAUGAGAGUUUCUGUCGGUCAAGAAUGAGAGCUCCGGUCGCGAACCGGAUUAGACACCCGGGUAGUCGGAGCUGUAAAGUAUGCCAACUGGGCCGCAUCGCAAGGUGGGGCCACACGAGAAAUCUUAAGUCGUUGGGCUACGGGGGGAAUACGACCGCAAGGCUGAAACUUGAAGGAAUUGACGGAAGGAUACACAAUGUUGUGGAUUAUGCGGCUCAAUGUGACUCAACGCGGGGAAACUUACCAAGACCCGAUAUUUUUAAUGACUGACCAGCUAAAGACUGUUCAGGAUAUGAUUUUUGGUGGUGCAUGGCCGUUGGUGGUGCGUGAAAUGAUUUGUCUAAAGUCGAUUCGGGUAACGAGCGAGAUCACCGCCGUUUUAAACAACGGGGCACUGUAAGGUGUCCAAGAGUACAAAACGGGACUCCCGGCGUUGAAGCCGGAGGAAGAUGGUGGCAAUAACAGGUCCGUGAUGUCCUUUAGAUGCUUUGGGCUGCACGCGUAAUACAAUGCUAGGAGAAAAGGGCGGCAAAGCCGAAAGGCCGAGCAACUCCAGGAAUCCCUAGCGUGCUUGGGAUUGACGUUUGACAUCAGCGUCAUGAACCAGGAAUAACUAGUAGGCUCGUCUCAACAAGGCGAACCGACUGUGUCCCUGUCCUUUGUACACACCGCCCGUCGCUGCUACCGAUUGGAUGAGCCGGUGAACCCGCCGGAGGCGCAAGCCAAAGACGUGUGAACCUGCCCAUUUA